rnacentral:rRNA from 1 species
CGGUACAUCGGUGACAGGUGGUGCAUGGUUGUCGUCAGCUCGUGUCGUGAGAUGUUGGGUUAAGUCCGCAACGAGCGCAACCCUAUUGUUAGUUGCCAUCAUUCAGUUGGGCACUCUAGCGAGACUGCCGGUAAUAAACCGGAGGAAGGUGGGAUGACGUCAAUCAUCAUGCCCUUAUGACCUGGGCUACACACGUGCUACAAUGGUUGGUACAACGAGUUGCGAGUCGGUGACGGCGAGCUAAUCUCUUAAAGCCAAUCUCAGUUCGGAUUGUAGGCUGCAACUCGCCUACAUGAAGUCGGAAUCGCUAGUAAUCGCGGAUCAGCACGCCGCGGUCGAAUACGUUCCCGGGCCUU